CCUACGGGCGGCAGCAGUGGGGAAUAUUGGGCAAUGGGCGCAAGCCUGACCCAGCAAUGCCGCGUGAAGGAAGAAGGCUUUCGGGUUGUAAACUUCUUUGACAGGGGAAGAGCAGAAGACGGUACCCUGAAAACAAGCCACGGCUAACUACGUGCCAGCAGCCGCGGUAAUACGUAGGUGGCAAGCGUUAUCCGGAUUUACUGGGUGUAAAGGGAGCGUAGACGGAAAGGCAAGUCAGAAGUGAAAACCCAAGGCUCAACCAUGGGACUGCUUUUGAAACUGUCAAACUAGAGUACGGGAGAGGUAAGAGGAAUUCCUAGUGUAGCGGUGAAAUGCGUAGAUAUUAGGAGGAACACCAGUGGCGAAGGCGUCUUACUGGACCGAAACUGACGUUGAGGCUCGAAAGCGUGGGGAGCAAACAGGAUUAGAUACCCUUGUAGUC
rnacentral:rRNA from 1 species